UACGAAGGGGGCUAGCGUUGUUCGGAAUCACUGGGCGUAAAGGGCGCGUAGGCGGCCGAUCAAGUCAGGGGUGAAAUCCCGGGGCUCAACCUCGGAACUGCCUUUGAUACUGCAAAUCUCGAGUCCGGAAGAGGUGAGUGGAAUUCCUAGUGUAGAGGUGAAAUUCGUAGAUAUUAGGAAGAACACCAGUGGCGAAGGCGGCUCACUGGUCCGGUACUGACGCUGAGGUGCGAAAGCGUGGGGAGCAAACAGG
rnacentral:rRNA from 1 species